rnacentral:rRNA from 1 species
AGAGUUUGAUCAUGGCUCAGGAUGAACGCUGGCGGCGUGCUUAACACAUGCAAGUCGAACGAAGCACCUUGAUUUGAUUCUUCGGAUGAAGAUCUUGGUGACUGAGUGGCGGACGGGUGAGUAACGCGUGGGUAACCUGCCUCAUACAGGGGGAUAACAGUUAGAAAUGACUGCUAAUACCGCAUAAGACCACAGCACCGCAUGGUGCAGGGGUAAAAACUCCGGUGGUAUGAGAUGGACCCGCGUCUGAUUAGGUAGUUGGUGGGGUAACGGCCUACCAAGCCGACGAUCAGUAGCCGACCUGAGAGGGUGACCGGCCACAUUGGGACUGAGACACGGCCCAAACUCCUACGGGAGGCAGCAGUGGGGAAUAUUGCACAAUGGGGGAAACCCUGAUGCAGCGACGCCGCGUGAGCGAUGAAGUAUUUCGGUAUGUAAAGCUCUAUCAGCAGGGAAGAAAAUGACGGUACCUGACUAAGAAGCACCGGCUAAAUACGUGCCAGCAGCCGCGGUAAUACGUAUGGUGCAAGCGUUAUCCGGAUUUACUGGGUGUAAAGGGAGCGUAGACGGAGUGGCAAGUCUGAUGUGAAAACCCGGGGCUCAACCCCGGGACUGCAUUGGAAACUGUCAAUCUAGAGUACCGGAGAGGUAAGCGGAAUUCCUAGUGUAGCGGUGAAAUGCGUAGAUAUUAGGAGGAACACCAGUGGCGAAGGCGGCUUACUGGACGGUAACUGACGUUGAGGCUCGAAAGCGUGGGGAGCAAACAGGAUUAGAUACCCUGGUAGUCCACGCCGUAAACGACGACUACUAGGUGUCGGGCAGCAAAGCUGUUCGGUGCCGCAGCAAACGCAAUAAGUAUUCCACCUGGGGAGUACGACCGCAAGGUUGAAACUCAAAGGAAUUGACGGGGGCCCGCACAAGCAGUGGAUUAUGUGGUUUAAUUCGACGCAACGCGAAGAACCUUACCAGGACUUGACAUCCAACUAACAAAGUAGAGAUACAUCAGGUGCCCUUCGGGGAAAGUUGAGACAGGUGGUGCAUGGUUGUCGUCAGCUCGUGUCGUGAGAUGUUGGGUUAAGUCCCGCAACGAGCGCAACCCCUAUUGUUAGUUGCUACGAAAGAGCACUCUAGCGAGACUGCCGUUGACAAAACGGAGGAAGGCGGGGACGACGUCAAAUCAUCAUGCCCCUUAUGUCCUGGGCUACACACGUAAUACAAUGGUGGCCAACAGAGGGAAGCGAAGCCGUGAGGCGGAGCAAAUCCCUAAAAGCCAUCUCAGUUCGGAUUGCAGGCUGCAACUCGCCUGCAUGAAGCUGGAAUUGCUAGUAAUCGCGGAUCAGCAUGCCGCGGUGAAUACGUUCCCGGGCCUUGUACACACCGCCCGUCACACCAUGAGAGUCGGGAACACCCGAAGUCCGUAGUCUAACCGCAAGGGGGGCGCGGCCGAAGGUGGGUCCGGUAAUUGGGGUGAAGUCGUAACAAGGUA